ACGUGGCUACGGAGGAGAGGAUCUACUACUACGUCCAGCCCUGCUCUCGUUCCCCAUCAGGCAUGACAGGACCUGGAAACCAGGGUGGAGCUCGUGCUGCAGGGUCGGUUGGUUUGUUGCUGCUGGCGUUGGCGAUCGCCGGAUUGACCGUAAAGUAGACGAUGUGCCAAGUUUGUGUCGUCAAACUCAGAGACCGUCUGAGACGCUGCUGUUCGUGGUUCAGGUUUUACUUUCACACAUGGUACUGUGCUUUCGCUUGCUGCCCUCUGCACUUUAUUAUAAGCCAUAUAUACUCACAUAGACCAUACUGUAGAUAGAUAGAUUUCCUUUUGAGAAAUGUUCCUCACUGCCUCAGCAUGCAGUGCCUUGCAGACAGUGUUACUUAUUAUGAAAUGUGUAUUUAUACUUUUAUAUGAAGCUAUUGUUAUUUAUCCACUGUCUUCCACUGCAGCAGCUUAGCUAGGUUUAAGUCUCCUCUUCUUAAUCCUUUACAUGCAAUUUGUACGUGAGGGCUUGUAGGAAAUUUAGAGAAACGUAUUAUGCAAAGAACAUAUUAACAUUUCACGGGUGCUUCUCUCAGGGCUGUGUUUACUAAGAAAAGUACAGACAUGCAGUUUGUAUUCACACUUAUUCUGCAAAUCAAGACAAUUUUUCUAGUAUAAUUAAGCGGGGACAACCCAUCUAAUGUUCCUCACAUUACAAAUGCAUUCAUACAAAUACUAAUACUAAUUGUUUACAUCGGUGCUGGAGCGUUCUCAAUCAAACAUCUUAGUAAAUACAGCCCCGGAUGUCUCACUCACACCAGAUCUACACCAACAAAGCUUUAGCUAGUUGACCAGCAAACACAGAAACACCUUAGUACAGUUUUUUCAAAAGAUUAUAAGCCUCCAAAAAAAACCUUUUGGUUACUUUUAGUGAAACUACUAUCUUAGUUUAAGAGUCCUAGAACUGAAGAAUACUUUGCACAUGUAAUUCACGAGAGAGGUGCAUAUGUAGAAGGGGAUAAAUGGAU